UACGUAGGGAGCAAGCGUUUGUCCGGAAUCAUUGGGCGUAAAGCGCGCGUAGGCGGCCCCGUAAGUCCGCUGUGAAAGUCAAAGGCUCAACCUUUGAAAGCCGGUGGAUACUGUGGGGCUAGAGUCCGGAAGAGGCGUGUGGAAUUCCUGGUGUAGCGGUGAAAUGCGCAGAUAUCAGGAAGAACACCUAUGGCGAAGGCAGCACUCUGGGACGGUACUGACGCUGAGACGCGAAAGCGUGGGGAGCGAACAGG
rnacentral:rRNA from 1 species